rnacentral:piRNA from 1 species
UACUAGAGCAACGUAGAAUCUGAGGGUAC